rnacentral:rRNA from 1 species
GAUGAACGCUGGCGGCGUGCUUAACACAUGCAAGUCGAACGGAAAGGCCUCUUUCGGGGGGUACUCGAGUGGCGAACGGGUGAGUAACACGUGAGUAACCUGCCCUUGACUUUGGGAUAACUUCAGGAAACUGGGGCUAAUACCGGAUAGGAGCUCCUGCUGCAUGGUGGGGGUUGGAAAGUUUCGGCGGUUGGGGAUGGACUCGCGGCGUAUCAGCUUGUUGGUGGGGUAGUGGCUUACCAAGGCUUUGACGGGUAGCCGGCCUGAGAGGGUGACCGGCCACAUUGGGACUGAGAGACGGCCCAGACUCCUACGGGAGGCAGCAGUGGGGAAUAUUGCACAAUGGGUGGAAGCCUGAUGCAGCAACGCCGCGUGCGGGAUGACGGCCUUCGGGUUGUAAACCGCUUGCGCUCAUGACGAAGCUUUGUGUGACGGUAGUGGGUAAAGAAGCACCGGCUAACUACGUG